rnacentral:lncRNA from 1 species
AGAUGCAUAUAAGUUUAUAUAUAUGGCAUGAUAAGUGAUGCAUGAUGCAUCUUAUAUAUAACCUUUUGGUUUGUUGGAGUAAACUUGUUGAUGUCUUUUAUGCAGGUUUUUGACUUUUGGCUCCUUUCCCACUCUCCAAUAAUGGAAAAAGCGACGAUAGAAACCUUUGAACCCAUAAAGUUAGAAACCAUUGAACCCAAAUGGAUUGACAAUGAACCAGAAGUUGGACCCUUUUGGAACCAAAGCACAGCAAAUAAACACAGGGAGGUGAAGAAGUCGCAUACAGACCUAAGCAAACCUGUCCAAACCAAAAUCUGGUGGAAUGGAAAAAAAACUCUUUUCUGAAAGGUGAUGAACAAGCCAAGUAAUCAAUUUCUAAGUGUACCUUUGCCUAAAAGUGAUGCAACUUCUACUAGUGUAUGAAACCACAAAUAAGUGAUGAAACUUCAACUAGUGUAUGAAACCACAAAUAAAUAUGUACUGUUUCAGGAAUAAAACUACUUUUUAAUUUUGUUUCAAUUCUCAUGUAAACAUGCACUAGCUAGAAGUUCAACACACUAAUUUUUAAAAUAAAAAUACUUUUGAAUUCCGCUAAAAUUGAUUAAAAUAUCUUAAUGCAACGCCUAACAUAAUCUAAUAUAUUAGUAGAUUAAUAUAAUAAUAUUUCUCAUAUAUACUAUUAAUUUCUAUAUAAGAUACAUUGUACUUGAUAUUCGAACAUAAUUUCUUAAAAAAUAAUAUAUACAUCAAUCCACAAAAAAUAAUAUCCAUUAACUCUGAAUACUUCACGUAAAAUCAAAUUAUACAAACAUAUACAUGAGGUUGAAUUAAUUUAAAAAUACCUAAAGAAUACAUAUGAAAUUAUCCUAAUAAUAUUCAUGCACUAUAAAUUAUAUUUGAUUCACAUAUGAAUUUUUAACCUCUUCUUGUAAAAAGACUUAUAUUAGGUGUAUCUCAUCAGAAUUUCGAAUGUGACUCGUUAAAAAUAUUACUAGUAAAAAUAAAUAUUGAUUUCUUAUUUUAGGCUUUCAUUGUAAAAAGUGGUAUAAUACAAAAAUCUCCUUCAACUUCUCACCAUUUUAGUCUUAUUUAUAUGAUUAGAUCAUUAGUAAAACAUAAGAUAUACUAUUUAAAUAAAUCAACGCGUUACUUUGAGCUUUUUAACAUAUUAUUUACUAAACUUCACAUUUUUAACAAAUUAGAUUGUUUGUUUUUUUUUAUCAACAAGCAGAAAAUGAAUAAAUAUGAACCACUUCAAGAGUGGUCCAAUCCUUAUACAUGAUUGCUAAAAACCAUGAUGUCACGUCUUUCCAAGUUAUCUUUAGUUGCAACUGAAUUUAGUAGCACCCUCCAAGCAAUAAACUGGGUUGAAGGCAAAACAAAAGUCUUCCACAGAGGAACAAACAGACUAUCUCCCUCGAAAGGACCUCUUAAAGUUUCAUAGGCAGACUUUACUGAAAACCCAUUAUCCUUACCAACCUUCCAAACCCAGUUAUCUUCAUAAUUCAAGACAAGGACCUUUCCAUGCAUCUCUUGUAAUAGUUGAAGUUCCUUAUUUUUCUCCCAAUCAAACAGAACUCUUCUCCAGACAAACUUUGAAUCCCAUAUACCAUUAAACCACUCCUCACUAGACUCUAAAUUACCUUAUUUAUUACAACACAAAGAAAACAGUCUUGAAAAUUUACUCUUCAAAUCUUCAUUGUCCACCCACACAUCUUUCCAGAACAAGACUUCCUUCCCGUUUCCCACUCCCCACUCCCCACUCGAAACAGUCCUCAAAGUUCCUACCCCAUUCCUUCAUCCCCCAAACUCCCUUCAAAUCUCUCCACCAGUUGGAAUCCUUAGCAUUGACACUUUGCUCUUGCAAGCUUCUCCAACCUUCAUAUUUAGACUCGAGAAUCUCCUUCCAGAGACCACCCUUAUCAAAACCCAGACAUUAAAUCCAUUUUCUCAUCAAAGUCACAAUGAAAAGCCUUAAUUUCAAAAUACCAAGACCGCCAGCUUCUCGAGGCUCGCAAGCCUUUUUCCAAGAAACCCACACAAUCUUCCUUCCUUCUGAACCCCAACCCCACAAAAACCUUCUUUGAAUUUUCUCAAUCUCCUUCAACACAACAAGAGGCAACUUAUUCAUAGAUAUAUAGAACAACGGGAGAGAAGAAAUAACUGACUUAAUCAGACAAACCCUCUCAACCAAUGAAGAGUUACUUUGACAAAAUCUGUCAUCUCUGUUGUCCCUUUAUAUUUCCUGACUCUUUUCAAAAUGCCCACAACAGUUGAGAAAUUAAUCACAAGAUUACAAAGAGAUUUUUUUAUAGGGAUGGGGUAUCUUUUGCUGGAAGAGUUACUUUGACAAAAUUUGUCGUCUUUGUGGUCCCUUUAUAUUACCUGUCUCUUUUUAAAAUGCCCAUAGCAGUUGGGAAAUUAAUCACGGGACUACAAAGAGAUUUUUUUAUGGGAUAGAGAAGUGAUAGAAGGAAAAUAGCUUGGGCGAAAUGAGAAUUCCUAUGUCAAUUCAAAUCAGAUGGAAGAUUAGGAAUUAAGGAUGUAAACUUUUUUAAUAUGGCUCUUAUUGGGAAAUGAAAAUGGAGACUUGGUUGUGAAAAGUCAAGACUUUGGAAAUAGGUAUUGGAAUCUAAAUAUGGUUCUUGGAGAGGGUUGGAUGUUAGUGUUGUGUCAAAUACUGAAUCUUGGUGGUGGAGAGAUAUCAAGAAGGUGUGUGGAGGAAACUCAAAUUCAUUAUUUGAUAAUUAGAGAAGGUGGAAGGUAGGUGUAGGGAGUACGUAAUAUUCUAUUUUGGACAGAUUGUUGGGCAGGGAACAAUAAUCUUAAAAAUAUAUAUCCUAGAUUUUUUUUUCAAAUUCAGUACUUAAAAAGGGUUUUGUAGAUAAAUAUGGGGUAUGACAUGAGAACUAGUGGGUAUGGCAAAUAGAAUGGAGAAGAGAGUGAUUUUUAUGAGAAAUUGAAAUUAUAAAUGCCUUUAUGGAUGAAUUGAAGGUUGUUAAAAUAGAUGCUUGUUUAAAUGAUGAGUAGAUGUGGCUAGGUGAUAUCUCAAAUUCUUUUGCACCAAAAUAUAUUGCAGCCACAUCUAUUUUCUGCAUUUAACUUUGAUUCUUUCGAGAGUUUAAAAGCUCUUCCAUCAACACAAUAUUUUUUCUGACGUGUUUUAACUGGUAAAAUUGCAACCUAUGAUAAUUUAAUACAUAGAGGAAUUCAGGUUGGAGGGAGAUGUAUGUCAUGUGUGGGUCUGAGCUUGAACAGUAAAUCAUCUUUUCUUCACAUGUAAAGUGACUUCUAAAGUGUUGUAUAUGUAUGAUGUUUGGGCUGGUAGAGUCUUUGUACAUUUUGAACAAAUAGGUUUUACAGAUCUAAACUACUUGGGAAAUUAUGUCUGGAGAUGUAUGUGGAUUGCCAUUAUGUAGGGAAUUUGGAAUCAUAGGAAUAGGAUAAUUUUAAUAAUGCAGUGGUGGAUCCUGUUGAAAUUUUUGCUAAGGCCAAAGUAAAGGCAUGGGCAUGGGUAACCUAUAAAUUCCCAAAGUCAAUUUUUUCUUAUUCUGAUAGGUGUAUUAAUGUAUAUGAAUGUUUAAAAUCACUACAUUGAUCGUUAACGUCUUUUCUAUACUUUUUGGUUGGUUUUUGUUUUGGAUGAGAGCACAUCCCUUUGGGUACAACUAUAGCCACAACUGAUGCGUGGGAAGCUGUAGUAGAUAGCAAGGAAGAAUUUUUUUUCCUUAGAGUUGCCAUGUUUUAUAUCUUGGAAUUGAGCUAAGUUGUUGUGUAUUUUUUAUAGAUGUAGUAUGAUGUAUAUGUGUUGGGUUUUUGUUAGAGGUUUAAGCUUACCAACUUUAUAUGUGCAGAAUAUGGCUAAACUUUGGCCAUUUUACUCUGACAACCUCACUUCUCUAGCUUUGAGGAAUUUUGUACAUGGGGGUUGGAGUACCCCUAGAACUCACAUUUUUUUUUUAUAUAUUUUUACUGCUGAUAAUAAUAUAAAUAAUAAUAAUAAUAAUAGGUUUAAUAAAAAUAAUAUUAAAUAAUCAAUAACAACAUAUAAAGGUGAUUCUUUUUUUUUGUGUACACAUUUUGUUUUUCAAUUUUAUUCUUUAAAAUAUUUCAUUUUCCAAUUGAAAAUUUGAAUUUUAAAUUUUUUUGAAAAUUUUGAAUUUUGAAAAAAAAAAUAAAGAAUACAAUUUCUUAUAAUUUUAUCCAUUAAAUAACUAUUUUUUUUAAAAUUCAAAUAAUUUUUCUCAAUAAAAAACAACCUACACAAUAAAAAAUUAAAUACAAAAUAUCAAAAUUUAUUAUUUUUAUAAUAAUUUUUAAUAAAAAUAUUUAUAAUUUAAUAAUAUAUUGAUACCAAUUUAGAAACUAUUUUUUUUAUCAUCAAAAAAUUAAUUAAUUGAAGAAAACACUUCAGGAGUGUUCUAAUCCUAACCAUCUUACUAUUAAACCCAGAAACAUAAAAAUCUUAGACAUAAUUUAGAAACUAUUUAUCAAUAAUACAAAUUAAUUUAGAAAUCAAUAAGUUUUUUUAGUUUUAAAAUAGGGUUUAAUCAAUAUAUAAAAAUUAAUUAUUUUUUCUUUGUAAAAUUAGUUUUUAUUUAAUGAUUUUGUAAUAGUGAUUUAAAUAGUAUUUUUUUAAAAUAAAAUAUUUUAUUUAUUUAAUAAAAUAAAUAAUUGAAUAAUUAUUUUUAUUAUAAAAUAAUUAAAUAUCCUCUUUUUAGAAAUAACUGUUAUAUAUAUAUAUAUAAUAUUUUUUACCUUUUAAUAUAUAUAAUUUAUCUUUUUAAAAAAAAAAUACUCAAUUGUUGUUAUAAUUUAAUAAAUAAAUUUAUUAAGAAAAAUUUUACUCCUUAUUAAAAAUUGUAGGUAAAAUUACAAACGAUCUUAUCAAUGGAUUUUUGAACAUUUCUUUUCCGUUAGUAAUUUCAAUUACGCUAUGAUAAUCAUGUGCUAGGAAGAAGAUUCAUAGCUAUAGUUGGGCAUCACAUUGUGUGUUGUGAUUGACGUGUAUACAGUGUAAUCUGAGUGACAAGGUUGCAUGGUGGGAAGAGUUGACGGUUUUCAAAAGUACACGCCAAAAUAUGGCGUGGCGUUGCUGUGGUGACUUUAAUGUUGUCAGGAGUGUAGAAGAAAGGAAAGGAGUUAGAGGAAGUGCUAACCAAAAGAAGGAGAUCAGUGGCUUCAAUAAUUUCAGUGAUAAGAAUCUGUUGGUGGAUUUACCUAUUGUAGGUAAGAAGUAUACAUGGUACAAAGUAAAUGGUUCAGCUAAAAGUAGGUUGAAUAAUGCACUUGUCUUUGAAGAGUGGCUUCAAAUGUGGCCAACGACCAAACAAUACGUACAACCGAGGGAGGUAUCAGACCUUUUUGCGUUAGUACUGAAAUCUUAAGUCAAAGAUUGGGACUAAAACCUUUCAAAUAUAUAGAUGCAUGGCUAUUGAAACUUGGGUUCAAGGAGUUGGUGAAGGGUAAGUGCAGGGCAAUAGUACCUCCAAAUUGAAAGACAAAUUGAAGCUCCUAAAGGGUGACCUCAAAGGGUCGAACUGGAGUAUGUUCGAGAACUUGGAUGUGAAUAAGAAGAGGAUUAUGAAGGAAAUCGAAUGUAUAGACGUCAAGGAUGCCAACAAUGAUCUUGAGGAGAGUGACAAACUGAGAAGAUUUGAGUUGUUAGUCAGCAGAGGUUGUUAGAUAAAAAACUUGAAUCCCUUUUCAAGCAAAAAGUCAGAGCAAACUGGUUUAAGCAUGGGGACUCUAACUCCAAAUACUACCACUCUGUAAUUCAGUGGAGAAGGUUUAGAAAUGAAGUCAAAGGUGUUGAGGUAGAUAACCAAUGGUGUGAGGAAUCGAAAGUUCUCCGCGGGGAAGCAAAAAGAGUGUUUGAACAAAGGUUCAUGACUACAUCCGAUGUUGGUGUUAGUCUUUGUUUCGUUUAGUUCAAGUCUCUCCCUGGGGAGGUUAGUUUAAGAUUGGUAGCUGACUUUAUUGAGGAUGAAGUGAAAGAAGUAGUGUGGCAGUGUGAGGGAUCAAAGAGCCCGAGCCCGAACAGGUUUAACUUUAAUUUUAUCAAGAGUGAUUGGGAUACCUUCAAGAAGGAUAUUGUGGAAGUUGUCCAUUUUUUUUUCAAAAAUCGGGGUGCAUUCUGAAGGGGUGUAAUGCCUCAUUUAUUGCAUUAGUUCCAAAAGUGAAAGAUCCCAAUACACUUGACCAAUUCAGGCCCAUAUCUUUAGUGGGAGCUAUAUAUAAGAUCAUUACUAAGGUCUGAUCGUGUCAUAUUAAGGAAGUACUCCCUUUGGUUAUUGAUGAAAAUCAAUCAGCCUUCUUGAAGGAUAGAAUAAUGUUACACAGUGUUCUUAUGGCCAACGAGGUGGUUGAGAAGGUAAGGAGAAGUCCGAGGAGUGGGUUGUGUUUGAAGGUGGAUUAUGAAAAAACCUAUGACUCAGUUAGGUGGAAAUUCUUGUUGGAUAUGUUACAGAGGUUGGGGUUCCAUAACAAAUGGAUAAAGUGGGUCAAAAGAUGUCUGGAGUCGGCCUCAGUGUUAGUUUCGGUUAAUGGUAGCCCUACGGAGGAAUUUAAACCAUCUAGGGGGUUGAGGCAGGGAGACCCCUUGGCACCGUUUUUGUUCCUUGUUGUAGGUGAAGGCUUGGCUAGAUUAGUAAGAAAGCUGUAAAGGAGAAUGUGCUUAAAGGAGUGAAGGUGGGGAGGACUGAGACUGAAUGUUGCAUGUUACAAUUCGCUAAUGACACAUUGUUUCUGUGUGAAGAUUCCUACUCCAACAUUUUCACAAUUAAGGUGAUUUUAAGGUGUUACGAGCUAGCUUCAGGUCUUAAAAUCAACUUCCACAAAUUGAAGUUGGCAGGUAUUAGAGUGGAGAGGAAUUCUCUUGAGACUUAUGCAAAAACUCUUAAUUGUAAUGUUAUGCAAAUUCCAUUUAAAUACCUGGGGUUAGAACUAGGAGGGAACCCAAGGAGAAAACAGUUUUGGGAGCCAAUUGUUGAUAAAAUUAAAGCUAGACUUAGCACAUGGAAGGGAAGAUGUUUGUCGUUAGCAGGUAGAGUAUGCUUAAUAAAAUCGGUCUUUACUGCCAUACCCCUUUUCUACCUGUCGUUCUUUAAAGCUCUGACAUUGAUAUGUAAAAAAAUCUCUAGCAUCCAAAGGAGAUUCCUCUAGGAUUGGGAAAGUGAUCACAAAAGUAUUUCUUGGGUUAGAUGGAAGAAUGUAUGUAAGCCCAUGGAAGAAGGAGGAUUGAGGAUCAAAGAUAUAAGAAAAUUCAAUAAUGCUCUUUUGGCAAAAUGGAAAUGGAGGUUGUUGAGCGAGGAAAAAGGAAAAUGGAAAGACAUUCUUGAAUCUAAAUAUUACUCUGGAACAAGAAGAAAUCAAACUUAUACAAACUACCAAUCCUGGUAGUGUUAAGAUUUACCUAACAUAUGUGGUGAGGGAGAAGGAGAUGGAUGGUUCCAAGAUAACAUAGCUUGGAAAGUUGACUCUAGGGAUAAAGUAAGAUUUUGGGAGGAUGCUUGGGUUGACAAUUGUAGGGAUAUUGUGAAGGAUACCAAAAUUUUUAGGUGGAAAACCCCUUUAAAUAGAGGUAAAAAACCACCGGCGAGAGAGUCAAAACUUCCACUAUAAUGGUACUGGGAGUACAAUGAAUUCCUCUCAAACAAAUUCUCUCUAUAUGGGUUAAACACUUACACCCAAGAGCAGAAAUAGAGAGUAUAGGAAAAUGAGAGAGGAAGCAAGUGUGUGUUGCUAUUUGUUGUGUGUUACAUUGCUUGAAGGAAGCCACUAUAUAGAGUGGUUCUAGGAGACAACAAUAAUAAAUACAAUUAAUGGUAAUUAACCUCCCUUUGAUUGCAAUUGAUUGUGGCAAUUAACCUCCCAUUGAUUGCAAUUGAUUGUGGCAAGUAACCUCCCAAUUAUGACAAGAAAACGAAAGGUGAGUCAUAACCCACAAAUCUCCACCUUGACUUGCCUUUGACUGGAACACUCUCUCGCCAUGAAGCCUUGAUUAAGUAUGGAUAAUACCAGCUAAGUUCAGGCAAUGAUCGAACUUAGCCGAUGGAAGUGGCUUGGUCAACAUGUCUGCAGGNNNNNNNNNNNNNNNNNNNNNNNNNNNNNNNNNNNNNNNNNNNNNNNNNNNNNNNNNNNNNNNNNNNNNNNNNNNNNNNNNNNNNNNNNNNNNNNNNNNNUUUCAAUGUGCUUGGUCCUUGAGUGAUACUUACUGUUCCUGGUUAAGUGGACAACACUCUGACUAUCACAAAAUAUAACAAGAACAUCUUGUUGAAGACCAAGUUCACUUACCAAGCCUCGAAGCCAUAUAGCCUCUUUCAUACCUUCUGUAGCAACAAUAUAUUCUGCUUCAGUGGUGGACAAAACCGCAAUGGCUUUAAGUGAAGAAUACUAACUGAUAGCAGACCCACAUAGGGUAAAAAGAUAGGCUGAAAGUGACCUUCUCCGAUCUAAAUCACCACCAUAGUCAACAUCAACAUAGCCAACUACUCCUCUAGGAUCGGCUCUAUGUUGAUCAAAUACCAAACCAAGAUCUGGAGAACCUUUCAGAUAANNNNNNNNNNNNNNNNNNNNNNNNNNNNNNNNNNNNNNNNNNNNNNNNNNNNNNNNNNNNNNNNNNNNNNNNNNNNNNNNNNNNNNNNNNNNNNNNNNNNUUCCCAGUGUGCCUUGCUUGGAUUAUGCAUGAACCUGCUAACAAUGCUAACAGCAUAAGCUAAAUCAGGUCUAGUACAUACCAUAGCAUACAUGAGACUUCCAAUUGCAUUUGAAUACAGGACAUGUGACAUGCGCCUUUUGUCCUCGUCUGAUUUUGGACACUGAUCUGAUGACAACUUGAAGUGGGCGGCAAUUGGAGUAUUAACAACUUUGCAAUCUCGCAUUCCAAAUUUGUUAAGCAUCUUAAGAACAUACUUAUUUUGUGAUAGAAAAAGUUUUCCAACUUGACGAUCUUUGUUGAUCUCCAUUCCUAAAAUUUUCUUAACAGGACCUAAGUCCUUCAUAUCAAAUUCACUACUAAGCUGAGCCUUUAACUUGUUAACUAAAAAUUUAUCUCUUGCAGCAAUCAACAUGUCAUUAACAUAUAACAACAAGUAUAUAAAUGACCCAUCAUAUGUCUUUUGAAAAUAGACACAAUUAUCAUAGCUACUUCUGGAGUAGCCAUGUCCAACCAUGAAAGAAUCAAACCUCUUAUACCAUUGUCUUGGUGAUUGCUUCAAGCCGUAGAGAGAUUUCUUCAAACGACAUACAUGGUCCUCCUUUCCAGGAAUAACGAAGCCCUCAGGCUGCUGGAUGUAAAUCUCUUCCUCAAGAUUACCAUGAAGAAAAGCAGUUUUCACAUCUAACUGUUCCAGCUCCAAAUCAUACAAGGCAACUAAAGCAAGUAAUAUACGUAUUGAAGUAUGACGAACAACAGGAGAAAAUACUUCAUUAAAGUCAAUAUCUUUCUCUUGAUCAAAACCUCUUACAACAAAUCUUGCUUUAUUCCUUGUACUCUCAACACCAGGGAUCCCUUCUUUUCUCUUAAGAUCCACUUGCAACUAAUGACUCGUUUUCCUUCUGGUAACUUCACCAAUUCCCAUGUUUUUUUUUAGAAGACUCUCAACUUCUUCUUGCAUAGCAGCAAUCCACUUUGUUGAGUCAUCACCAGAGAUAGCUUCAGAGUAAUUAUUGGGUUCACCUUCUUCACCCAUCUCUUGUGCAAUAGUUAAAGCAUAAGCAAUGUUGGCAGAUUCUGCAAUUAAUCUUUGAGUCGGUUUUCUUGGUCUCUGUUGUGGAAGUUCUUGAGCCAUAGACCACAGUUGUGGUAACCCUCGUCGUUGAGGUGGACAUUGCUCAUGUGGAGUCACAUGUUCAUUUGUACCAUUAAUAAGAGUGACUUGAUCACCUUGAGUACUGGAGGAAUUAGGAACGUCUUCCUCAUGAGUGGGUGUUUUAAUCUCAAACUCCACCUUCUCUCGAGCAUCUUCCUGGUCACCUGUAUCAAUUGAGGAAAUGACAAUAUCUUUUACAGAAGAGAGCAUAGCAUUUUCAUUAAAGGUCACAUUCCGACUGUGAAUUACUUUGUGAGAUUCUGGGUCAUAUAAACGAUAACCUUUAACCCCUAAGCCAUAACCCAAGAAAAUGCACUUCUUAGCACGAGGUUCUAAUUUUCCCUCGUUUACAUGAGAAUAAGUAGGGCAACAAAAUAUUUUAAGAUUAGAAUAAUCAACAAGGUUACCUGACCAAACUUCUUCUGGAAUGUUGCAAUCAAUUGAUCUGUUAGGAGAGCGGUUUAUCAGAUAACUUGUCGUUGAAGCCGCUUCAGCCCAAAAAGAUUUGCUCAAACCAGAAUGGGAGAACAUGCAACGAACUCUCUCCAGGAUAGUUCUAUUCAUUCUUUCUGCAACCCCGUUUUGAUGUGGAGUCUUUGGGAUGGUGAAGUGUCUGGAAAUGCCUUCCUUCUUGCUGAAAUCAUUGAAUUCAUUCGAACAGAACUCAAGGCCAUUGUCUGUCCUUAGCCUCUUUAUCUUCUUGCCAGUUUGAUUCUCAAUCAAUAAUUUCCACUCUUUAAAAGUGGAAAAUGCUUCAUUCUUAUGUUUGAGAAAAUACACCCACAGUUUUCAUGAGAAAUCAACAAUAAUUGUCAUCAUAUAACGACAUUUACCUCUGGAGGGAACUUUUGACGGACCCCAAAGAUCUGAAUGAAUAUAAUCCAAAGUACCUUUGGUUCUGUGUAUGGCUUUAGAAAAACUAACCUUUUUCUGCUUACCAAAAAUGAAAUGUUCACAGAAAUCAACCUUUCCAGUACAGUGGUUACCAAGGUGACCCUUCUUCUUGAGGAUUAGAAUUCCCUUCUCACUCAUGUGGCCUAAUCUCAUAUGCCACAACUUGGUGUUAUCUUUAUUGGGUGAGGCAACAACUGCAGAACCUGUAACUGUUGAACCCUGCAGCACAUACAAACUAUCACAUUGAAUUGCCUUUAGUAACACAAGAGCUCCUUUAGACACUUNNNNNNNNNNNNNNNNNNNNNNNNNNNNNNNNNNNNNNNNNNNNNNNNNNNNNNNNNNNNNNNNNNNNNNNNNNNNNNNNNNNNNNNNNNNNNNNNNNNNNNNNNNNNNNNNNNNNNNNNNNNNNNNNNNNNNNNNNNNNNUUCCUUCACCAACAACUUUGCAUUGAGCAUCAUUUCCCAUCAAAACAAGACCAUCAUAAACUGGUUCAUAUGUGGUAAACCAAUCUCUAUUGUGAGACAUGUGAAAAGUACAACCAGAAUCAAGAAUCCAUUCAUUUUUAGACCUUUGUUCAGUGUUGGAAGCUACAAAACAAUCCCCAUCAGAUUCAGUUUCAACAAUACUAGCUUCGGCAAAUUUUUCUGGUUGUUUACCAUUUCCCUUAUCUUCUUUAUCUUGCAUAUUUUUCAAUUUAUAACAUUCAAGGAUCUCAUGUCCCUUUUUCUUGCAAUAACGACAAUAUUUGGAGUUCUUGCCUCUAGAUUUUGACCUAGAUUUAUGUUUAGUGUUCCUACCUUUCUCUUGGUUUCUUCCUCUAACUACUAAUCCUUCACCAGAACUUUCAGAAUGAAUUUGAGUAUCAAAUUUUUCUUUGACUAGUAAAUUAGUCUUGACAUCAUCAAAGCUUAAGGUAAGAUAAUUACCGUAUAACAUAAUUUCUUUUGAAUUGUCGAUGCGAGGGUGGUAGAGAAACAAUAAGUAGAAUGGCUUUAUCCUCAUCAUCAAUUUUAACAUCCAAAUUUUCCAAAUCAAUUAUGAUGGAAUUAAAUUCAUCAAGGUGAGAUUGGAUGGGAGUACCUUCGGACAUUCAGAGUGUAAGGAGUCGCUCCUUUAACCGGAGUUUGUUUGCAAGACUUUUGGUCAUGUAUAGAGACUCCAAUUUACUCCAUAUGCGUGCUGUAGUUUUCUCGUUGAUGACCUCACGCAACACCUCAUGGGACAAGCAUAACUGGAUUGCAGACAAUGCCUUUUCAUCCAUCUCAUUCCACUGCUCCUCCGUUAUAGUGGUUGGUCUCAUCAUUUUACCUGUCAAAACAUUCUUUAAACCAUUCUGGGUGAGAACAGUUAGCAUCUGGACUCGCUAGAUAGCAAAGCUGAUUUUACCAUCAAAUUUCUCAAUAUCCAAUUUUGACAUUAUUGAACAACAGAUCCUGGUUGAAUUAUCGAAAAAUUUUGAUGCCAAUUUGUAGGGAUAUUGUGUGCGGAAGGGUAAUAAUUUCAACCAAAGAUUAUGAGAAAUUAAAGUAAGAAGUAAAGUGAGAAUAAUACCAGAAUUUUUAGGUGGAAAACCCCUUUAAAUAGAGGUAAAAAACCACCGGCGAGAGAGUCAAAACUUCCACUAUAAUGGUACUGGGAGUACAAUGAAUUCCUCCCAAACAAAUUCUCUCUAUAUGGGUUAAACACUUACACCCAAGAGCAGAAAUAGAGAGUAUAGGAAAAAGAGAGAGGAAGCAAGUGUGUGUUGCUAUUUGUUGUGUGUUACAUUGCUUGAAGGAAGCCACUAAAUAUAGUGGUUCUAGGAGACAACAAUAAUAAAUACAAUUAAUGGUAAUUAACUUCCCUUUGAUUGCAAUUGAUUGUGGCAAUUAACCUCCCAUUGAUUGCAAUUGAUGGUGACAAAUAACCUCCCAAUUAUGACAAGAAAACGGAAAGGUGAGUCAUAACCCACAACAACAACAAACUUAUAUCCUUGUAUCAUGGGUUAUAUUUCUUGUCCCUAGAUCACGGUGAGUGAGGUAUGUUCUUGGGGGGAUUCAGGAUGGCUUUGGCAGUUAAGGUGGAGAAGUGUAAGGUAUGAUGGGGAAUCCAUUAUGGAGGAAGAAAUGCUUAAUUUUAUUACUAUAGGAGGUAUGCAUAAGGAAAUCAAAGAUCAUAUGGUAUGGAAAUGGGAUACCAUAGGAAUCUUCUCUGUGAAAUCUGCCUAUAUGAGUUUCAACAAUCAAUCCAUUGGUUACUCGAAUGACGUGUUUACCCUUUAAUGGCAAGCAAAAGCGAUGUCUAAAGCUUUAAUUACCGUGUGGAGGAUUCUGCUUGACAGAUUGCCAACCAGUAAUAACCUCGUCAUGAGGGGUGUGAGUGUUAUCUCUUCAGUAUGUGUGCUUUGUAAAGAGGCGGAAGAAUCAUCCCAACAUUUGUUUCUUGAAUGUGCAUAUGUACAACAAGUUUAGUCUCUUUGUUUUAGAUGGAUUGACAUUCUGUUUGUCGAACACAAGGACCUAAAAUAUCACUUUGAGCAUUUUCACUUAGUACAUAUGUCCAUCAAACAAAAUUAGGUAUGGAAGGAAAUGUGAGUAGCCAUUAUUCAGUGUAUUUGGAAACACAGGUAUCUUCCUUUAAUUUCUCUUUCUCGGAUUGGCUUUUGAACUCUGGCCUAUGCUUUCAAAGUUGCUGAAGUAGAGGUUGAGGUUCGUUUUAGCUACUGUAUGGUCAGAUAAUGUGUGGGUAGUUUCUUCGAAAAUGCAGGGGCUGACGUGGAGAAAAUGAUGAAGUAUCAUAGGAAAAGGGUGUCAACUUGAUGGUGUAUCUGGAGGGGAGGUUCGCUGGAGUAGCAGACUUUUGUUUACAGAAUCAAACCUUUACAAUGGUGUUCAGUCUUAAGGAAUGGAGAGGGAAGAUGAUUCUGGAGUGGUUGAUCUUUAAAGGAAUCCUUGGUGCUGAAUGCGUGGGUUUUAUUGCCGCAGCUAAUCAGGUUUGGGAUUUGCAACCUCAUUCGGUUCUGAGUGAUGAGGCUAGGUGCUUAUAUCUUGGUAGCUGCUGCGUGUGCCUGUUUUUUCCUCUAGCUGCUGCCUUGUAGAGAGUCUAGAGGUGUGAUAUCUGUGACAGGUGGAAGUGUAAUUAUGCAGCUCUGUUAUGUACCAGUUUGGUGUUGUAGUGCUUGGUAUGGAGGAGUUGGUCUAGCAUAGUGCUUCUUGAUGGGUUAAGAAACCGUGUAGGAGGUUGACUAGUGUUGUGUGGUGUUUCUAGUUAAGUUGGAGUGAGACAUGGUGUGUUGCUGAUAGGAAAGGAAGUGCAGCCUAGAAGUCUGCUUUGGUCCUAUGAUCUUGUUUUUUCUGGUUACAUUAUCAAAGCAUUUGGUAUCAUUUAUUUGUUUGAAGCCACAACAUUUAUGCUGAAGCGACCUUUUUGUAAGACAAGUGUUGUGAAUGGAAAAAAAUUAACUGUGACAAAGCGAACCUCCUUUAUAGAAGAAUCCGAAAAAGUAUAAAAAAAAGCAACACCAUUAUUGAAAUCAUUGAAUAAAACAAAGAACAAGAGAAUUAGAUUCCACCCAAAUUAAGUGUAAGGUUUACAUUUCCCUUGAUGUGAGUGAGCAAAGAAUCUUUAGUUUGUGUAUUUAUACAAAGCCUUAGAAACCCAAUAAUAAUGCAGUGGAGAAGCAUUUGAUUAUUAGUUCAGGUGAAGUGGUCAAACAGAGAUAUAAUAUAAUAUUUUGUCUUUAGGUUCAUCAGAUCCUAGUAAUAAUAAUCCAUUUACAUCAUUGAGUUGCAGUUGCAGAUAUAUAUGCAUGUUUCCACCUAUUUCUUCAUAGAUUUUCAGUUUUCAUUCCAGUUCUGUUCAUUAACCAUUUCAUUACAUUUUUUGUUAUGUAUAUGGUUUUAACUGCCAUGCAUGCAUCUAUACUCAUAAGAUGCAUAUAAGUUUAUAUAUAUGGCAUGAUAUGUGAUGCAUGAUGCAUCUUAUAACCUCUUGGUUUGUUGGAGUAAACUUGUUGAUGUCUUUUAGGUUUUCUCAAAUAUAUAGCUCUCUAACCCUAUAUAUAUAUUUAUGCAGGUUUUUCACUUUUGGCUCCUUUCCCACUCUCCAAUAAUGGAAGACUCUCCAGUAAUAGAAGAAUGGUUCCCCGUAACGUUCAAAGCCACUGAACCCAAUUGGAUCCAAACGGAACCCAAAUGGAACCAAAGCUUAGCAAAUAAACGCAUGGAAGUGAAGAAGUCGCAUACAGAGAUAUACGAACCUGACCAAACCAAAAUUAAAGGGAAAGAAGAAAAGAAGAAAGGGAAUGUUUUUUCAACUUUUUUCUGAAAGGAGAUGAACAAGCCAAGUAAUCAAUUUGCCUAAAAGUGAUGAAACUUCUAGUGUAUGAAACCACAAAUAAAUAUGUACUGUUUCAGGAAUAAAACUACUUUCAAUUCUAACAUAAAUAUGCACUAGCUCG